rnacentral:tRNA from 1 species
AAGAUUUUAAGUUAAAAAAAAACUGGAAGUUUUCAAAGCUUAAAAUGGUAUAAAAUUUAUCAAAUCUUG